GGCCCGAUGCCAUACUGUGGUGAUAGCAGGUAGGGUUGGUGGGGGUAAGAGGGUGAUAGCAGGUAGGGUUGGUGGGGGUAAGAGGGUGAUAGCAGGUAGGGUUGGGUGGGGGUAAGAGGGUGAUAGCAGGUAGGGUUGGGUGGGGGUAAGAGGGUGAUAGCAGGUAGGGAUGGUGGGGGUAAGAGGGUGAUAGCAGGUAGGGUUGGGGUAAGAGGGUGAUAGCAGGUAGGGUUGGGGGGAGUAAGGUGGUGAUAGCAGGUAAGGUGGUGAUAGCAGGUAGGGUUAGGGGGAGUAAGGUGGUGAUAGCAGGUAUGGUUGGGAAGGGUAAGGAAGUGAUAGCAG